UGAACGCACUGAGACACACCUUUUACGAGCACUUCUGUGCCGGCCAGAACGCGACGGCCGCCGGUGGAUCCGUGCGGUGACUCCACUGUUGUGAACUCAGAGCCAUACUUGAUUACACUGUGGACCCGUGAGCCUAACAAAGCCACUGACUUCAGCGGAACCAGAGACCCAGACCCCGAACCCAGAUCCCAGCCGGACCCGACACUGCCCGUAGUUGUUCAGAACAAAACAAAAACAGAACCACAGUGAUCCGCAACCCAGAAAGCCGUGAAACCAGGACUUCUGCCAACCCGUGGACUUGAAUCCAUGACCCAAAUCCAGAACCGGAACCCCAAUCCAGAAGAAUCAUGGGCUGACCCAGCCCAUCUCAACGGCAGUCCAGAAACCCGUGAGCCCAGCCCGUACCACAAGCCCACGACGCCCCGAUUCAGCAGUAAUCCAACCCGAUCCGUACACCUUCAGAUCCGUAACCCGGAAAUCCGGUGAACCCAAAUCAGCAGCGAUCCGUGAAGCCCAAAACUGUUAGUCCAGAAAAUUUGGCAACCCUUGAACCGAAGCCCAUCAAAUCCAAAAGCCCGAUCGGCUCAGCCCAAAACCGUAGCCCAAUCGUGAUCCAUCUCAGAAACCCAUAACCUGUGAAACCUAGCCCAGAACCAGAAACCCAUUUAACCCAGAACCCGAUCAGAUCAUAACCCAUAACCCGUUAAGCCCAAACCCAUGAACCACCUGAGCCCAUAAUUCAGAAACCCAUAACCCGAUCUUCAGCCCAAAGCCCGAAGCCCAAACCCGGAUCCAGUAACAACCCAACCCUUUUUGUUGUGCAACCCGGACAGCCCAUAACCUGAAGACCCGACCCAGAACCCGGACCCAUACCCGUGACCCGAACCGGAAACCCGACCCGCCGGUGACCCAUCUCCGGCGACUUUCCGGUGACUUUUCCGGCGAAUUUCCGUGACCGAACUUACUAUUUUCACUAGAUUUUCUAGUGAAAAUUCUUAAUGAGAUAUACUAAGAACUAUACAAGAGGAGUAAAGCUCGAUCCCGAUAUUAAUGGGAAAUCCAAGUUAUGAACAGGGAGACGUAGGUGGCCGGGAUGGGAUCUAGGAAUGCAUUAGGACAUUUCAUUUAUAUUACCCCAUAAUUUUCAGUUAUUGUAUUUUUACAAUUAAAUGACCGUUUCCGCAUUUAUUAAAAACUCUGAGAUUUUGAAACCA